rnacentral:rRNA from 1 species
AUUGAACGCUGGCGGCAGGCCUAACACAUGCAAGUCGAACGAGUGGCGGACGGGUGAGUAAUGUCUGGGAAACUGCCUGAUGGAGGGGGCUAACGACUGGAAACGGUAGCUAAUACCGCAUACCAUCGGAUGUGCCGAGAUGGGAUUAGCUAGUCGGUGGGGUAAAGGCUCACCGAGGCGACGAUGCCUAGCUGGUCUGAGAGGGUGACCGGCCACACUGGAACUGAGACACGGUCCAGACUCCUACGGGAGGCAGCAGUGGGGAAUAUUGGACAAUGGGCGCAAGCCUGAUGCAGCCACGCCGCGUGUAUGAAGAAGGCCUUCGGGUUGUAAAGUACUGUCAGCGGGGAGGCGUUACCCGCAGAGGAAGCACCGGCUAACUCCGUGCCAGCAGCCGCGGUAAUAC